UCUUUUCUCUCUCUCGAUUUGGAUUCUCCAUAUUCAUCUCUACCAAUUCAGAUCUAUCUCGGUUCAGAUUCCUACAGUGAACGACACCAUCAGAUUCCACAUUUUGAGUCGUGGCCACACUAAUUCCACUCUGAUUCUUGUCGUCGCUUUCCUGUCCUUGCACAUGUCUGGACCAGAUCUAUAUGUGGCCGGGCCAUCUCGAGCUCAUGCUGCCAUCGCCGCCAAACCAUCAUCAAGGGUGUUUCAUAUCCAAUUGAACUUCCGAGUCAAAAUUUCGAUUCACUCCAAAAUAUGUUCUGUCGAUUCUUGCUUUUUUCUGUUUGCUCCGACUUCAUUGCCAUCUUUCGAAUUCCUUUGUUCGCCCAUCUACGCCUCACGCAAAGGGAAAAAAGCGGGGUGGUGUUCACCGCUUAAAAGAGCUUUAUCCGGUUGCUAAGGCUGAGGUUGGAUGGAUCAUCAUCAUCUGGACAGGAUCCGCCGAUUCGAAGGAUGAGAUUCUUUGGGUUCACUCUCGGCACUCCUGCCGGUCCGACGUAGUUUCAUCAACCAACCGCAACAGAGGGCAAUCUGAGUCAUCAAAAUCAUCCGAAAAGAUACGCCAAGCAUGAAGAUUGGCGGUGGUGAGCACGAAGAGAAAACAAGGAAGAAUAAAAAGUCGCGAAGCGAAGCAGUGGAUGGAGAUGAUUCGGAUUUUGCGUGGGGACUGUGGGGAAAACGGGGCAAACAAGGUGAAGCCGGCGGUGGUUCUUUGGAUGAGAAGGAAGUAAAGUGUUGAAUUU